ensembl:snoRNA SNORA70 Small nucleolar RNA SNORA70
CUGCAGUUGGUUAAGUCAAUCAAUCAAGUUUCUUUUCUCACAGGGGCCUAGUGUGCAGCAGACACUAACAGCAACCUCCUCAGGAAUGUAUGCAGCCUAUUGCCUGUACGGAUUGCUCUAAGGGACCUUGGAGACAUUU